rnacentral:rRNA from 1 species
AUUGAACGCUGGCGGCAGGCCUAACACAUGCAAGUCGAACGAGUGGCGGACGGGUGAGUAAUGUCUGGGAAACUGCCUGAUGGAGGGGGAUAACUACUGGAAACGGUAGCUAAUACCGCAUACCAUCGGAUGUGCCCAGAUGGGAAGUGCUAGUAGGUGGGGUAAAGGCUCACCUAGGCGACGAGCCCUAGCUGGUCUGAGAGGAUGACCAGCAACACAGCAACUGAGACACGUGCCAGACUCCUACGAGAGGCAGCAGUGGGGAAUAUUGCACAAUUGUCGCAAGCGUGAUGCAGCCAUGCCGCGUGUUUGAAGAAGGUCUUCGGGUUGUAAAGCAUUUUCAGCGUGGAGGCGUUACGCGCAGAAGAAGCACCGGCUAACUCCGUGCCAGCCGCCGCGGUAAUAC